AGAUGUGACGGCAAUCUGGCUGUGACAUCUGUUACCUCAUUGAUUGCCAAGGUUGAUUUGGCUGACUGGCUGGCUAGAUGGGUGUCCCCUUCAUCCCUCACUGCCCCAUGUGUGUCCCUGCUGAAGCUGGAUGCUCAGCGGAAGAGGACAACCAUCCCAGAUAGGAGUGUACCAGUCUUCAGCCAAGGGUAUAUGAUAGCUGCGCUCCCCUGCUAGAAUCUCUAAACAAGUUCAAGGUCCUUUUAUAGGAAACAUAAGGUAAUCAAGCUUCCAAGACUCCAGAAACAUCCAAGUAAGGCGCUGCAUUACUUU
rnacentral:snRNA from 1 species